rnacentral:rRNA from 1 species
UUCCAGACUCCUACGGGAGGCAGCAGUGAGGAAUAUUGGUCAAUGGGCGGGAGCCUGAACCAGCCAAGUCGCGUGAGGGAAGACGGUCCUACGGAUUGUAAACCUCUUUUGCCGGGGAGCAACGGGGUCCUUGCGAGGGCCCAAUGAGAGUACCCGGAGAAAAAGCAUCGGCUAACUCCGUGCCAGCAGCCGCGGUAAUACGGAGGAUGCGAGCGUUAUCCGGAUUUAUUGGGUUUAAAGGGUGCGUAGGCGGGCUGUUAAGUCAGCGGUAAAAUGUCGGGCCCCAACCCCGGCCUGCCGUUGAAACUGGCGGCCUCGAGUGGGCGAGAAGUAUGCGGAAUGCGUGGUGUAGCGGUGAAAUGCAUAGAUAUCACGCAGAACUCCGAUUGCGAAGGCAGCAUACCGGCGCCCUACUGACGCUGAGGCACGAAAGCGUGGGUAUCGAACAGGAUUAGAUACCCGUGUA